CUGCCAUUAUGGCUAAUAUUGCUAAUAUUGCCAAUACCACAGUUUCUUAUACAGCUAAUGCUCGCACCUGGUCUGCAGUGGUAAACGUUCCACCGGGACGCCCCUUCUCUCAUCUGUCUUCUUCUCGCAUACAUUACGGCCGGUGCGAUGAGGUUGUCAUGGUGCUGGCCAGGCUGUGGUUGCCGUGGGGAUGGGAUCUUGUCUCCGGGACGCUGCAGCAGGAUGAUUCAGAAAGAGUCAUCUGAGUUCAAAGCACCAUAUUUUUCCCACCGUGAGGCACCUAGGAUCCAAUCACAAUCCAACUGAAAGAGGAGCUGAGACCCCUGAGCAGAAUGUUCUGCGUUCUCCACGUCAAUAAGAGUGAAUCCGUCAGAACU